CUCAGAUGGUGACAGUGAAGCUCCAGCUUCUUCUCCUGGACCAAAGACACUUCCUCCAAGACUGACAACAACCUCCCAGAGCAGGAGAGCAAGGUGGCAGAAAAGAUGGGAACCCAGGCAGCGAAACGAAGAUGGCAGGAGGGGGAAAAGAAAGAGAAACCUGGAGGAGAACCUGCCAAGAUGGACAAAGACGAGGAUGGUGAAGACAAAGGCAAGAAUAAAAGCAGAGGU